GGGCGUAAGCGAGCGCAGGCGGUUUUUUAAGUCUGAUGUGAAAGCCUUCGGCUUAACCGAAGAAGUGCAUUAGAAACUGGAAAACUUGAGUGCAGAAGAGGACAGUGGAACUCCAUGUGUAGCGGUGAAAUGCGUAGAUAUAUGGAAGAACACCAGUGGCGAAGGCGGCUGUCUGGUCUGUAACUGACGCUGAGGCUCGAAAGUAUGGGGAGCGAACAGGAUUAGAUACCCUGGUAGUCCAUACCGUAAACGAUGAAUGCUAAGUGUUGGAGGGUUUCCGCCCUU
rnacentral:rRNA from 1 species